GACGAACGCUGGCGGCGUGCCUAAUACAUGCAAGUAGAACGCACAGUUUAUACCGUAGCUUGCUACACCAUAGACUGUGAGUUGCGAACGGGUGAGUAACGCGUAGGUAACCUGCCUGGUAGCGGGGGAUAACUAUUGGAAACGAUAGCUAAUACCGCAUAAUAUUAAUUAUUGCAUGAUAAUUAAUUGAAAGGUGCAAUUGCACCACUACCAGAUGGACCUGCGUUGUAUUAGCUAGUAGGUGAGGUAACGGCUCACCUAGGCGACGAUACAUAGCCGACCUGAGAGGGUGAUCGGCCACACUGGGAAUGAGACACGGCCCAGACUCCUACGGGAGGCAGCAGUAGGGAAUCUUCGGCAAUGGACGAAAGUCUGACCGAGCAACGCCGCGUGAGUGAAGAAGGUUUUCGGAUCGUAAAGCUCUGUUGUAAGAGAAGAACGGGUGUGAGAGUGGAAAGUUCACACUGUGACGGUAUCUUACCAGAAAGGGACGGCUAACUACGUG
rnacentral:rRNA from 1 species